rnacentral:lncRNA from 1 species
AAAAUCAUGGAACCCAAGAAGAUAUUGUGAGAGAAGAAGAACAUUCUAGGAAUGUUUCACUAGAAGCCAUAUGCUUUGUCACAUCGUACAAGCUCAAAUUUCGCUUAAGGCUAUAAGGAAAAGCUUUGAACCCUAUAAAGAAGACUAAAGUAUGACGCCACAUCCAAAGGCUAUUGGAUCUUCAGAAGUCAAGUUCUUUGUCUAAC